UCCGGUUCUUCACCAGCAGUCUCCUUAGAGUCCCCAACUAAAUGAUGGCAACUAAGGAUAAGGGUUGCGCUCGUUACGGGACUUAACCCAACAUCUCACAACACGAGCUGACGACAGCCAUGCAGCACCUGUCUCUAGGUUCCUUUCGGCACUUCUGCAUCUCUGCAAAAUUCCUAGGAUGUCAAGGGUAGGUAAGGUUCUUCGCGUUGCAUCGAAUUAAACCACAUGCUCCACCGCUUGUGCGGGCCCCCGUCAAUUCCUUUGAGUUUUAACCUUGCGGCCGUACUCCCCAGGCGGAGUGCUUAAUGCGUUUACUGCAGCACUAAAGGGCGGAAACCCUCUAACACUUAGCACUCAUCGUUUACGGCGUGGACUAC
rnacentral:misc_RNA from 1 species